GUCAUCGUGCCUGACAAGUUCUAAAACUAGUGUUUUAGUUAUUUAUAUUAUGAAUGAGAUAAGAAACAGAUUGGGCCGAGGUAUAUAGAAAUUAUAUAGUCUAGUACAUAAAUAAUUUAUGUUCGUUUGAACGAAGAGAAUUUAGAAAAUAAAUAUAUUUAUGUACGUGGCGGAAGAAUUUUAUCGUAUGAUAAUUCUAUUAAUAUAACAAUAGAAUUGUAACAGGUUUUAUGAACCCGAGUGUAUUUAAAUACGGUGGACUCGAUUUGAAAUUAUCGAUAAGGGCGUUGACCAUUCGCAUGUACACACGUAGUUUUUGUUAGUUAUACUUAAGCACAUAUAUAUUCGAAAACAGUAUUAAAUACUUUUUGUAACAU
rnacentral:lncRNA from 1 species